GUUUAGUGCCCGCAGUAUCAACAGAAGAGUGCCCAGCUGAAGUCUGACCUGUGUAGUGGUGCUGUAGCUAAACCGUGCAUGCAGUCAUUGAGCUCUACAAAUGUAUUCUGGAGGUCAGAAGUCCAAAACCAAAGCGUCAAUAGGGCUGUCCCCUCCUUGAUGACUCCAGGGGAGAAUCUGUCCCCUGACCCUUCCAGCUUCCGGUGGCCCACAGCACUUCCAGUCUUUGCUUCCGUGGUCACAUUGCUGCCGCCUCUUCUGUCAAAUCUUCCUCUGCCUCAUUCGUAUAAAGACACUUGUCACUGGAUUAUUUAAACUCCUGUGGAUAAUCCUGGAUAAGCAGCCUCUUGAAAAAUCCUUAACGUCAUCCCAUCGUUUGCCAUAUCAGCUGUCAGUAUGCUCAAAAGUCAGCAGUUACAGAAAGGAAGCAUGGACUCCAGUCGCAUCAGUAUCCCCUGGAGCUCCCAUGGACAUAAGAAUCCCUUUUCACGACCACUGCUGCUUCCAGAAAAGAUUCCCCCUACUGUGCUCAAGAUGGUGCAUAGAUUUUCUGCAUUGGAGCAACCAGGAAGCCGAAUUCUUUCUUGCCAGUUCCUUUCGACUUGCAGCUCAGAGCUCCAGAGUUCCAGUCUGGCAAGGAAAAAUGACCCUGACAAUUGUCUGCCUUCCCAUUUCCACAGGGGAAACGAGUCACCGAGAAACCAGAUGCCAGUCCCUUCAAGGUCUCCUAGUGGAAAAGCAACAGAACCCAAAGUCACUGUGGAAGUAGGACCUGUGGAAGGAGCACACCAGGAUCUGCCCAUCUUGCUGUGUAAAAAAUCAUGAAGUAGUAGAGACCCCUGGAGGCUUCUAUUUCUCUAUUUCUCAACCACAACACUGGAAUUCUGCCCUUGCUUCUCUUGCUGAGUUGACAAGGAAGUAUUCAUGGAAAUGAAAAUGUUAUAUUCUGGAAAUGUUGAUUGACUUGCAUAUUAAGUUACUUUAAAAUAAAUUAUAAUUGAGCAAGAA